UACAGAGGUCUCGAGCGUUGUUCGGAUUCAUUGGGCGUAAAGGGUGCGUAGGUGGCGCUGUAAGUCGGGUGUGAAAUCCUGAGGCUUAACCUCGGAACUGCAUUCGAUACUGCGGCGCUUGAGGACUGGAGAGGAGACUGGAAUUCAUGGUGUAGCAGUGAAAUGCGUAGAGAUCAUGAGGAAGACCAGUGGCGAAGGCGGGUCUCUGGACAAUUGCUGACGCUCAGGCACGAAAGCGUGGGGAGCAAAAGGG
rnacentral:rRNA from 1 species